AUGAUGGAACAUUCUCUUGAUGUACACACUCAAGAGAAUCUGAAUUUUCCUCAGCAGAAAAGUAUUCACUUUCAUCAGAGUCCUUAAAAUCAUUCGUAUCAAAAACAGGAAACUGACCCUCUGUGGACUGUCCUGUUUCAGGUUCUGCCCCGCUGCUGUGAGAGUGCUGAGGGACAGCAGAGUCUAUCAGGGAAUUACUUCGAAUUUUCUCGGAUUUUCUCCUGUUUCUCUUACGUGGCACCACCACCGCCUCACCUUUCCGGCUGAAUUCCUGUGAGAUGGCCCUAGAGUAGGACGGUCUUUUUUGACGUUGUGAUAUCAACGUAUGAAGACCAGUCGUGUCGUCUUCCAUUUUUAUCCUAGACUCUAACGCAGCCCGAUUAAUAGUUAAUGCUUCACUUUUGAUUGUUUUACUUUGCAGAAAUGUUUGCGUCCAUAUACAUGUAUCUUCAAACGGUUGCUAGAAAUGCCUUGACAUUCACGCUCUUGCAAUUCAAAUGUAACAAUCUUAUUUCACAGUUUAUUAGUUGUACUUUCGCUUUUACGUAAACAUAGGAACCUCUCGGAGUUCCUCGCGUGGCUAUAUCAUCAGCAAAUGUAUAUGGCUGGAAGUUGCCGAAUGCAUAGCAUUAGCUUUACGCGGCAAAUGCAAAAUUUUGGGAAUGAAAGUUUUAUAUUAUGUAUUUUUACAUUCCUAAAGUUCGAUGUUCACCACCAGCAUAACUGUAAUGAAAGUUACAAUAAAAAAUCACAAUCU
rnacentral:sRNA from 1 species